CGCAGAUAACGCGAUAAAUCGACCGCCUGGGGAGUACGGUCACAAGAAUAAAACUCAAAUGAAUUGCCGGGCGCCCGCACAAGCGGUGGAGCAUGUGGUUUAAUUCGAUGCAACGCGAAGAACCUCACCUGGUCUUGACAUACACGAAACUUUCCAGAGAUGGAUUGGUGCCUUCGGGAAUUGAGAUACAGGUGCUGCAUGGCUGUCGUCAGCUCGUGUUGUGAAAUGUUGGGUUAAGUCCCGCAACGAGCGCAACCCUUUUCCUUUGUUGCCAGCAUUUCGGCUGGGAACUCAAAGGAGACUGCCAGUGACAAACUGGAGGAAGGCGGGGACGACGUCAAGUCAUCAUGGCCCUUACGGCCAGGGCUACACACGUGCUACAAUGGCAUAUACAAAGGGAAGCGACCUAGCGAGAGCAAGCGGACCUCAUAAAGUAUGUCGUAGUCCGGAUUGGAGUCUGCAACUCGACUCCAUGAAGUCGGAACGCUAGUAAAUGGGGAUCAGAAUGCCGCGGGAAACGUUCCCCGGGCCUGUACACACCCGCCCGUCACCCCAUGGGAGUGGGUGCCCAGAAGUAGGUACCUAACGCAAAGAGGGCGCUACCACGGUGUGAUUGAUGACUGGG
rnacentral:rRNA from 1 species